rnacentral:rRNA from 1 species
UAUGCCCAGCCCUAAAUCUAGAUGUUCAUACCUACCAGAACAUCCGCCUGAGAACUACGAGCACAAACGCUUAAAACUCUAAGGACUUGGCGGUGCCCUAAACCCACCUAGAGGAGCCUGUUCUGUAAUCGAUAACCCACGAUGCACCCAACCACCUCUUGCCAAAGCAGCCUACAUACCGCCGUCGCCAGCCCACCUCUUAUGAAAGACCCACAGUGAGCGCAACAGUCCUAACCCAACUAACAAGACAGGUCAAGGUAUAGCUAAUGAGGUGGAAGAAAUGGGCUACAUUUUCUAAACUAGAAAAUCCACGGACAGGGGCAUGAAACUGCCCCCAGAAGGCGGAUUUAGCAGUAAAGCGGGACAAAAGAGCCCCCUUUAAGCCGGCCCUAGGGUACGU